AGUUAAUGAGCUUGAAUUUUAAGCAUAUGUUUUGAAAACAUAAGAUAGAAUAUAAACAUUCUAUUAACUU
rnacentral:tRNA from 1 species